CCUACGGGGGGCAGCAGUAGGGAAUUUUCGGCAAUGGGGGGAACCCUGACCGAGCAACGCCGCGUGAACGAAGAAGUUAUUCGUAAUGUAAAGUUCUUUUAACAGGGAAGAAAGAGAAAUUUGACGGUACCUGAAGAAUAAGCCCCGGCUAAGUACGUGCCAGCAGCCGCGGUAAUACGUAGGGAGCGAGCGUUAUCCGGAAUUAUUGGGCGAAAAGGGUGCGUAGAUGGCAUAGUAAGUCUUUUGUAAAAAUGGUGGGCUCAACCCAGUAGGGCAAAAGAUACUGCACAGCUAGAGUAUGACAGAGGCAGGUGGAACUAGAUGUGUAGCGGUAAAAUGCGGAAAUAUAUGUAAGAACACCAGUGGCGAAGGCGGCUUGCUGGGUCGAUACUGACAUUGAGGCACGAAAGCGUGGGGAGCAAACAGGAUUAGAUACCCGAGUAGUC
rnacentral:rRNA from 1 species